GCCUCUAUGGAUCAACGAUACAUCACCUCCGUUCCAUAGCAUGGUUGGUGGUGGUGUGUUUUCGGAGGAGACGUAGGUUCGAUUCCUACUAGAGGCG